AAAAAGCCAAAAACUCAUACAGACUUCUGCUACACCAUCAAAGCUUUAAGAAGCAACAAGAAGUUUGGUUAGUAUUUUGGAGUCAAAUAAGACUAUAUGUCAUGUGUAGUAUUGAGUAUAAGAACUAGAACCGCAACCGGUUCCCAAAAGCAAAAGUAGUGUUUCCUUGUCAGAAGAUACAAAGCCAAAGACUCAUACGGACUUCGGCUACACCAUGAAAGUUUUGAGAAGCAAUAAGAAGCUUGGUUAGUGUUUUGGAAUCAAAUAUGACUAGAUGUCAUGUGUAUGAUUGAGUAUAAGAACUAGAACGGCAACCGAUUCCCAAUUGCUAAA
rnacentral:sRNA from 1 species